rnacentral:rRNA from 1 species
UGGGGAAUAUUGCACAAUGGGCGAAAGCCUGAUGCAGCAACGCCGCGUGAGUGAUGAAGGCCUUCGGGUUGUAAAGCUCUGUCUUUUGGGACGAUAAUGACGGUACCAAAGGAGGAAGCCACGGCUAACUACGUGCCAGCAGCCGCGGUAAUACGUAGGUGGUAAGCGUUGUCCGGAUUUACUGGGCGUAAAGGAUGCGUAGGCGGAUUUUUAAGUGAGAUGUGAAAACCCUAAGCUUAACUUGGGGACUGCAUUUCAUACUGGAAAUCUAGAGUGCGGGAGAGGAGAAUGGAAUUCCUAGUGUAGCGGUGAAAUGCGUAGAGAUUAGGAAGAACACCAGUGGCGAAGGCGAUUCUCUGGACCGUAACUGACGCUGAGGCAUGAAAGCGUGGGUAGCAAACAGGAUUAGAUACCCUGGUAGUCCACGCCGUAAACGAUGAGUACUAGGUGUAGGAGGUAUCGACCCCUUCUGUGCCGCAGUUAACACAAUAAGUACUCCGCCUGGGAAGUACGAUCGCAAGAUUAAAACUCAAAUGAAUUGACGGGGUC